UUGGGUUAUUUUACUUGUUUUGUUUGCUAAUUAGAAAUAGAAAAUUUAUAAACUCUAAUUUGUGAAAAAUGGCAUGCGCUUGAAGGUUGGAGCUCGAAGAGUAUAAGGUUUGCGUCGGCACAAGUUAAGUUGAAGAACUGAUGAUUAGUUAGAAGCUAAUAUUUGAAAAGUUAAGUUAUUUAUUCUUUAGCUAAAUAUAACUUUUUAAUUUCCUUAUUAUGUUCACUAUCUCAAUUUCUAUUUCUAAGGUUAGUAGCUCUACCUCAUCUCUAAAUAAUUUCAUGAUAGUGUUAGUAGCUAAUCUUUAAUUUUAUUAAGUUGGAUGGUGGAGUCACUCCAAAAGUCAUGUUGGGUUUUUUUAAUAUUUUUAUUUUAAUAACUUUUUUUGUUUGAUGUUUGAAUUGAAUUGUUUGAAAUAUAGUGUGAUGAUUGUUAAUUAGAAAUAGAAAAUUUAUAAACUCUAAGUUGUGAAGGUUGGAGCUCGAAGAACAUAAAGUUUGCGUCGGCACAAGUUAAGUUGAAAAACUUAUGAUCAGUUAGAAGCUGAUACUUGAAAGGUUAAGUUCUUUAUUCUUUAGCUAAAUAUGAUUUUUCAAUUUUCUUAUUUUGUUUACUAUUUCAAUAUCUAUUUCUAAGGUUAGUACCUCUACCUCGUCUUUAAAUAAUUCCAUGUUAGGCUUAGUAGCUAAUUUUUAAUUUUAUUAAGUUGCAUUGUGGUGUUUGAUGUUUGAAUGACUUCUUUUGUUUGAUGUUUGAAUUGAAUUUUUGUAAUAUAGUGUGAUGAUUGUUAAUUAGAAAUAGAAAAUUUAUAAACUCUAAUUUGUUAAAAUGUUAUGUGCUUGAAGGUUGGAGCUCGAAGAGCAUAAGGUUUGCGUCGGCAUAAGUUAAGUUGAAAAACUUAUGAUCAGUUAGAAGCUGAUACUUGAAAGGUUAAGUUCUUUAUUCUUUAGAUAAAUAUGACUUUUUAAUUUCCUUAUUUUGUUUACUAUUUCAUGAUAGGGUUAGUAGCUAAUUUUUAAUUUUAUUAAGUUGCAUGGUGGUGUUCUUUCAAAAGUUACGUUGAGUUAUUUUACUUCUUUUCUUUGCUAAUUAGAAAUAGAAAAUUUAUAAACUCUAAUUUUUUAAAAAUGGCAUGCGCUUGAAGGUUGGAGCUCCAAGAAUAUAAUGUUUGCGUCGGCAUAAGUUAAGUUGAAAAAGUUAUGAUCAGUUAGAAGCUGAUACUCUAAAGGUUAAAUUCUUUAUUCUUUAGCUAAAUAUGACUUUUUAAUUUUCUUAUUUUAUUUACUAUUUCAAUAUCUAUUUCUAAGGUUAGUACCUCUACCUCGUCUUUAAAUAAUUCGGACAAAAUAAGAUGAUAAGGAUAAACAAAGUGAUGGACAAGAAUCUUUUUCUUUUUGAAAAAUGGACAAAACAAGAAGACAAAGUAAGAUGAUAAAGAUGGACAAAGUGGCGGAUAAGAAUCUUUUUCUUUUUGACAAAGUAGCUUAAUUAUUUAUCUUUGUUGUCUUUUGUAAUAAUAUCACGGACUCAAGUUUGUUUGAAGUCCGAAUAGUAUCCUACUCCUUACUAUAAAUAGAUGUAAAUUAGUUGAGGGAAGACACGCUUGAACUAUUUUCCCUACUAGCUUUGUAAAAUUCUCUCUUUAAUAAAACUUUAUAUUACUUA
rnacentral:lncRNA from 1 species